AGCGAACGCUGGCGGCAGGCCUAACACAUGCAAGUCGAACGGAUCCUUCGGGAUUAGCGGCGGACGGGUGAGUAACACGUGGGAACGUGCCCUUUGGUUCGGAACAACUCAGGGAAACUUGAGCUAAUACCGGAUGUGCCCUUCGGGGGAAAGAUUUAUCGCCAUUGGAGCGGCCCGCGUCUGAUUAGCUAGUUGGUGAGGUAACGGCCCACCAAGGCGACGAUCAGUAGCUGGUCUGAGAGGAUGAUCAGCCACACUGGGACUGAGACACGGCCCAGACUCCUACGGGAGGCAGCAGUGGGGAAUCUUGCGCAAUGGGCGAAAGCCUGACGCAGCCAUGCCGCGUGAAUGAUGAAGGUCUUAGGAUUGUAAAAUUCUUUCAGCGGGGACGAUAAUGACGGUACCCGCAGAAGAAGCUCCGGCUAACUUCGUG
rnacentral:rRNA from 1 species